rnacentral:rRNA from 1 species
CUAUGCGCCUUGCCAGCCCGCUCAGCAGUAGUUUGAUCCUGGCUCAGGACGAACGCUGGCGGCGUGCUUAACACAUGCAAGUCGAACGGGCCCGCCCCUUUGGGGGUGGGUUGAGUGGCGAACGGGUGAGUAUCGCGUGAGUAACCUGCCCCCUGCUCCUGGAUAACUGCUUGAAAGGGCGGCUAAUACGGGGUGUGCCGGCUGGUCCGCAUGGGCCUGGUCGGGAUAGUUUCAUCUUCGGGUGUUCCGGUGGGGGAUGGGCUCGCGGCCUAUCAGCUUGUUGGUGGGUGAUGGCCACCAAGGCGGUGACGGGUAGCCGGCCUGAGAGGGUGGGCGGCCACACUGGGACUGAGACACGGCCCAG